rnacentral:rRNA from 1 species
UACGAGAGGUGCUAGCGUUAUUCGGAAUUAUUGGGCGUAAAGGGUGCGUAGGCGGCUUGUUAAGUUUGUUGUUAAAGACUUCGGCUCAACUGAAGAAAAGCAACGAAUACUGGCGAGCUAGAGGGUGAAAGAGAGAAGUGGAAUUCCCGGAGUAGCGGUAAAAUGCGUAGAUCUCGGGAGGAACACCAAUGGCGAAGGCUGCUUCUUGGUUCACUACUGACGCUGAGGCACGAAAGCGUGGGGAGCAAACAGG